GAUGAACGCUGGCGGCGUGCCUAAUACAUGCAAGUAGAACGCUGAAGGAAGGAGCUUGCUCUUUCCGGAUGAGUUGCGAACGGGUGAGUAACGCGUAGGUAACCUGCCUGGUAGCGGGGGAUAACUAUUGGAAACGAUAGCUAAUACCGCAUAACAGUAGAUGUUGCAUGACAACUAUUUGAAAGGGGCAAUUGCUCCACUACCAGAUGGACCUGCGUUGUAUUAGCUAGUUGGUGAGGUAACGGCUCACCAAGGCGACGAUACAUAGCCGACCUGGGAGGGUGAUCGGCCACACUGGGACUGAGACACGGCCCAGACUCCUACGGGAGGGAGCAGUAGGGAAUCUUCGGCAAUGGACGGAAGUCUGACCGAGCAACGCCGCGUGAGUGAAGAAGGUUUUCGGAUCGUAAAGCUCUGUUGUAAGAGAAGAACGAGUGUGAGAGUGGAAAGUUCACACUGUGACGGUAUCUUACCAGAAAGGGACGGCUAACUACGUG
rnacentral:rRNA from 1 species